rnacentral:lncRNA from 1 species
AACCCGUCGCAUCUAGCAGCCCAUGGUACGGCCCAGACCGUGUUAAGUACUUGGGUCCAUUCUCCGGUGAGUCCCCAAGCUACUUGACCGGUGAAUUCCCCGGUGAUUACGGGUGGGAUACUGCUGGACUUUCAGCAGACCCAGAAACCUUUGCCAAGAACCGUGAACUCGAGGUGAUCCACUGCAGAUGGGCUAUGCUUGGUGCUCUUGGAUGUGUCUUCCCCGAGCUCUUGGCCCGUAAUGGUGUCAAGUUUGGCGAGGCUGUGUGGUUCAAGGCUGGAUCCCAAAUCUUUAGCGAGGGUGGACUUGACUACUUGGGCAACCCAAGCUUGGUCCAUGCACAAAGCAUCUUGGCCAUCUGGGCUUGCCAAGUUAUCUUGAUGGGAGCCGUUGAGGGUUACCGUGUUGCUGGUGGGCCUCUUGGUGAGGUUGUCGACCCACUCUACCCUGGUGGCAGCUUUGACCCACUGGGCCUCGCUGAGGACCCAGAGGCAUUUGCUGAGCUCAAGGUAAAGGAGAUUAAGAACGGAAGACUUGCCAUGUUCUCUAUGUUCGGAUUCUUUGUUCAGGCCAUUGUUACUGGAAAAGGUCCAUUGGAGAACCUUGCUGACCAUCUUGCAGACCCAGUUAACAACAAUGCUUGGGCAUACGCCACAAACUUUGUCCCCGGAAAGUGAAUCUUAAAACAUUCUCAAAAUUCUGAUUGUUUGAUGGCCUUGUAAAGCUGUCGUGCGUUACCUGAUAAUAUAAUGAGAUUUUGUUUGUGUUUAAAUGACUGUUUAUUUCUGAGUUUCAUACCCAUUAAUCAAACAGCCACAAAAAAAAAAAAAAAAGAACACAGGAAAAAAGGCCUAAUGACCACUGGACAUUCGAGUAACUAAAAACACUGUAAAGCUGUUAAAAGCUUAAACUUGAUUUUACAGACUAGAGCAGCUUAUGGAAUUUAAUGGAUUCUCUUUAAAAUCUAUACAAGAUCUCACGUACUAAACAAGUUGACUACACUGUCUAUGUAUUUGCUUUAAGUUGCAAGCACUAUGCGAAGUAUAUACUAACAACAUAUUUGGUGGAAAAGAAUAUAUAUUUACUAACAUAGAGAUUUAUACAAAUUUGUAAAACUCUGUUGUUCAUUUUCUUGCCGGAAAAGCUUCGCAGAUGGUAUGCCAAUUCUGACUUUUACCUUUGAUGUCCGACAUCAUACAUGCAUUUUACUUUUGUGAAUCACAAUGUUCUGUCAAGGGUUGCUCGCCUAGUUAUCCCCUAACAGAUGCUAUCGCCACGGAAUGAUGGCAUUGACAAGUAGCUUAGAUCAAUGAAUUAACAAAUCAUGGUUAGAAA